GAUGAACGCUGGCGGCAGGCUUAACACAUGCAAGUCGAGCGGAGUGAUGGUGCUUGCACUAUCACUUAGCGGCGGACGGGUGAGUAAUGCUUAGGAAUCUGCCUAUUAGUGGGGGACAACAUCUCGAAAGGGAUGCUAAUACCGCAUACGCCCUACGGGAGAAAGCAGGGGAUCACUUGUGACCUUGCGCUAAUAGAUGAGCCUAAGUCGGAUUAGCUAGUUGGUGGGGUAAAGGCCUACCAAGGCGACGAUCUGUAGCGGGUCUGAGAGGAUGAUCCGCCACACUGGGACUGAGACACGGCCCAGACUCCUACGGGAGGCAGCAGUGGGGAAUAUUGGACAAUGGGGGGAACCCUGAUCCAGCCAUGCCGCGUGUGUGAAGAAGGCCUUAUGGUUGUAAAGCACUUUAAGCGAGGAGGAGGCUUACCUAGUUAAUACCUGGGAUAAGUGGACGUUACUCGCAGAAUAAGCACCGGCUAACUCUGUGCCAGCCGCCGCCGUAA
rnacentral:rRNA from 1 species